AUUGGGGCUAAUACCGGAUAUGACCGCUGACCGCAUGGUCUGGUGGUGGAAAGUUUUUUUGGCUGGGGAUGGGCCCGCGGCCUAUCAGCUUGUUGGUGGGGUAGUGGCCUACCAAGGCGACGACGGGUAGCCGGCCUGAGAGGGUGACCGGCCACACUGGGACUGAGACACGGCCCAGACUCCUACGGGAGGCAGCAGUGGGGAAUAUUGCGCAAUGGGCGGAAGCCUGACGCAGCGACGCCGCGUGGGGGAUGACGGCCUUCGGGUUGUAAACCUCUUUCAGCAGGGACGAAGCGGAAGUGACGGUACCUGCAGAAGAAGCACCGGCCAACUACGUGCCAGCAGCCGCGGUAAUACGUAGGGUGCAAGCGUUGUCCGGAAUUAUUGGGCGUAAAGAGCUCGUAGGCGGUUCGUCACGUCGGCUGUGAAAACCUGAGGCUCAACCUCAGGCCUGCAGUCGAUACGGGCG
rnacentral:rRNA from 1 species